rnacentral:lncRNA from 1 species
CUAGUACACGUCCAAAAAGGCUCUAGCUAGCCGCUGACCCCUCGCCAGGAACCCUAGCCUUUCCCGCUGUGGAAGGCUCUGUAAAAACAACAACAAAGAGGGCGUGAGAACUAUUAAACAAUAGUUCCCAGUGGGUAAGCCGCCGAGAGUGGCGAAGUACACCACUAGGUCAACUAUGGCAUGAGUAGAUAGUAAUAAAUAAGCGAGUAAAUACAGAUAAUGCAAGUAAGUGCAAUAAGCCCGUAAAUGCAAUAAGCAAAUGUAAAAAUAAGCUACUCAUGCUAUUUGCUCGACAAUCAA